rnacentral:rRNA from 1 species
GACGAACGCUGGCGGCGCGCUUAAUACAUGCAAGUCGAGCGAGAACUAGGGCUUCGGCCCUGGGGACAGCGGCGAACGGGUGAGUAACACGUGGGUAAUCAACCCCCGACACCGGGAUAGCCCAGGGAAACUUGGAUUAAUACCGGAUGCCCCAUCUGGCUUUCGAGCCGGCUGGAAAAGGGUAGCUUCGGCCUCCGGUCGGGGACGAGCACGCGGCGGAUUAGCUUGUUGGUGAGGUAAAGGCCCACCAAGGCGACGAUCCGUAGCUGGUCUGAGAGGACGAUCAGCCACACUGGGACUGAGACACGGCCCAGACUCCUACGGGAGGCAGCAGUAGGGAAUCUUGCGCAAUGGGCGAAAGCCUGACGCAGCGACGCCGCGUGAGGGAAGAAGGCCUUCGGGUUGUAAACCUCUUUCAGGAGGGACGAAGCCACUCGGGUUAAUAGCCUAGAGGGUGACGGUACCUCCAGAAGAAGCCCCGGCUAACUACGUGCCAGCCGCCGCAGUAA